CAGCAUCUCACCUCUACAAACAUGGAACAACUCACUGUUAUUUUGUUCUUCUCAGCUCUCAUAGAAUCCAGCUAUGAAGAGCUCACUCCAGUUAAGAAUGAAGAGUUCAGUUUAGAAGGCAGCACUGUUACUCUGUCAUACAGUUACCCUGAACUGUUAACUGGUAAUUAUUUCUUCUGGUAUCGACAACAUCCAGGAAAACAACCACAGCUCCUUGUUCGUCACGGCGCUUCAGGAACGAUAGGAAAUGCAUUUAGAUCAGGAUUAAAGAUUUCAGUGGAGCAAAAAGAAAUCAACAUGAACAUCUCCUCUGUUGCACUGACUGACUCUGCUGUGUACUACUGUGCU